rnacentral:tRNA from 1 species
UCUUCUUUAGUAUAUAAAGUACAAAUAACUUCCAAUUAUUAAGAUUAACAUAAAAAGAAGAA